UCGCAAACAACGGGUUCGACGAGGACGG
rnacentral:sRNA from 1 species